rnacentral:tRNA from 1 species
CUGGGUGUAGCUCAGUGGUAAGAGCUGGGGACACAUAAGCCUCGUGACACUGGUUCGAAUCCAGUCACCCUGC